UGAGUUUUGUCUUAUAAUAUAAUAAUAUUACUCAUGAUAUUAAUGGUAGCAAUGUUACUCAUGUAGUGAGUUGCAUCAAUUGUAAGGGAGGAUUUUUUGUACUUAAUGUCAUAAAUACAUUUAAUAUGUCACCAUAAUUGAUUCUAUCUUUAAUUUUGCAAUAAAGCUUACUAACAGAUGAAAGCCUGGGUUGAAGACUGCGAUAUGAUAACCCUUCCAUCUAGAUUUCCAGUUCAGAUUCUGCUUGAGAGAAAGCCAAUGUCUGACAACUGGACGGUCACCUCUGUGAAUUAAUCUGGUGGGCUCAAUCCGAUUCUACUCACAUCUCCAAAACUAGUACUACAGCCAGCAAGUCUCUACACAGAGUCUAAGAGUUAAGCAAUCACAAUGACUGAACCAUCAACUUGACCUUUAAGAUCCCUUUAGAAAAGCAGUGUUCCACAGCCUAACAUGAAAACAGCGGGUGAAAGUCACACCUCACUGAAGUCAAUAGGAGGAUUGCUUUCAGUGGAACUUGGACUUCACCCGGCCAAUCCAGUCUGCAGUGUUUGGAUCCUACCUAUGUCCAAAGUACAGAUUCCAUCAUCUGCCUUCUUUCCUGAACCUUAAAGGUAUUUACUCAGCAUUGCAGUCUCUCAGUUCCACUUUGUUUUAAUGCAGUUACAUAAUAAACUAUGGACCUCCAGAGAUCAAAAAUCCCCAUUGAGCUGCUCUGAA